AUUGAACGCUGGCGGCAGGCCUAACACAUGCAAGUCGAGCGAGCGGCGGACGGGUGAGCAAUGUAUGGGGACCUGCCCGAUAUAGGGGGAUAACUACUGGAACCGGUGGCUAAUACCGCUUACUAUCCGAUCAACCCCUAUGGGAUUAGCUAGUGGGUGGGGUAAAGGCUCACCUAGGCGACGAUCUCUAGCUGGUCUGAGAGGAUGAUCAGCCACACUGGGACUGAGACACGGCCCAGACUCCGACGGGAGGCAGCAGUGGGGAAUAUUGCACAAUGGGCGAAAGCCUGAUGCAGCCAUGCCGCGUGUAUGAAGAAGGCCUUAGGGUUGUAAAGUACUUUCAGCGGGGAGGCGUUACCCGAAGAAGAAGCACCGGCUAACUCCGUGCCAGCAGCCGCGGUAAUAC
rnacentral:rRNA from 1 species